rnacentral:rRNA from 1 species
CCUACGUGUGGCAGCAGUGAGGAAUAUUGGUCAAUGGACGCAAGUCUGAACCAGCCAAGUAGCGUGAAGGAUGACUGCCCUCUGGGUUGUAAACUUCUUUUAUAUGGGAAUAAAAUGUUCCACGUGUGGGCUUUUGUAUGUACCCUAUGAAUAAAGAUCGGCGAACUCCGUGCCAGCAGCCGCGGUAAUACGGAGGAUCCGAGCGUUAUCCGGAGUUAUUGGGUUUAAAGGGAGCGUAGGUGGAUUGUUAAGUCAGUUGUGAAAGUUUGCGGCUCAACCGUAAAAUUGCAGUUGAAACUGGCAGUCUUGAGUACAGUAGAGGUGGGCGGAAUUCGUGGUGUAGCGGUGAAAUGCUUAGAUAUCACGAAGAACUCCGAUUGCGAAGGCAGCUCACUGGACUGCAACUGACACUGAGGCUCGAAAGUGUGGGUAUCAAACAGGAUUAGAUACCCGUGUAGUC